rnacentral:hammerhead_ribozyme from 1 species
AUCUAGAUGACGAGUCACAAAAACAGGACGAAACGCGCGUCAAACUGGAU